rnacentral:rRNA from 1 species
AGUAAUGCAUAGAUAAUGUGCCCCUUAGUUCGGGAUAGCCACUGGAAACGGUGAUUAAUACCGGAUACUCCUUCUUGUUAUAAGACAAGUCGGGAAAGUUUUUCGCUAAGGGAUCAGUCUAUGUUCCAUCAGCUUGUUGGUGAGGUAAUGGCUCACCAAGGCUAUGACGGAUAUCUGGUUUGAGAGGAUGAUCAGACGCACUGGAACUGAGACACGGUCCAGACUCCUACGGGAGGCAGCAGUGAGGAAUAUUGCACAAUGGAGGAAACUCUGAUGCAGCAACGCCGCGUGGAGGAUGACGCAUUUCGGUGUGUAAACUCCUUUUAUUAGGGAAGAUAAUGACGGUACCUAAUGAAUAAGCACCGGCUAACUCCGUGCCAGCAGCCGCGGUAAUACGGAGGGUGCAAGCGUUACUCGGAAUCACUGGGCGUAAAGGGUGCGUAGGCUGGCUUUAAGUCAGAUGUGAAAUCCAAUGGCUCAACCAUUGAACUGCAUUUGAAACUGAAAGCCUAGAGUUCAGAAGGGGCAGAUGGAAUUAGUGGUGUAGGGGUAAAAUCCGUAGAUAUCACUAGGAAUAUCAAAGGCGAAGGCGAUCUGCUGGGAUGAUAC